rnacentral:lncRNA from 1 species
CAUUGCCCCAAUAACCCUAGGAAAACAGCAUUAAUAUAAAUAAUAUAAUGAAAUGUUUUAUUAUGAGUAUCCUUUUAUGAUUGAUUGGCUUAUCUGCUUCAGUCAGAUGCAUUUUAUUGAUAAUAUUGGACAACCCUAUGUAAUAGCAUCUGCAGCCCUUCUGCACCUUCCAGUCUGUCACUCCAAACAGACACAAGAACAUUCAGUUUAAGGUUACUGAAAAUCUGCUCACUUCGAUAAUGUCAACCCAUCACAUUUCAGUUAAGCAAACAUCAAAUCAAAUGAUGCAUGUCACAGAGGCAUAAAUACUACUUACAUGGAGAGCAAAUUUCUAGCCAUAAAUGCAGAGACUCUCCUGGUUUGUAAACCUGAACUACAUUCUUUCAUUUCAUCAAUAGUAAGAAAUGGGUGUAAAAUUAAGACCUAGUUUUCAAGUAAUCCAAUUGUCAACUUACUUGGAAACAAUUUUACCAAAUUUUUUUUUUUUAGAUUCAAAAAUGCCCUCUCUUUGAAGUUCUCCUCUUAAUGAAAAGAGCAGUCAUGCUAUGAAAAGUCAACACUUUCUGUAAGAAGGGCAUAUCAAGCUGUAGAAACAUCAUAUUCUCUUAGGACGUCUUUAAAACUGUAAUUAACCCAUCCGUGUUCUCAGGGUUAGUUCAAGAUAAUUCUGAACCAUUGCACAAUUGUGUCUCAUCACUAGAUAAGUGAUGCUGACAAAAAUUGCAACUUUAGGGAAUUGAUCAAGAUGAAUGUCAUUCCAGGAAAAAUAGACUCUCCCUGUGAAAAUGGAAAAUAUAUAUAUGUACAUGUGGAAGAAACUUUAUAAAAUUUGUUAAAGUUCCGGUAUGGGAUAAGUUACUUUUGUCAAUGAUUUUAUAACAAUCUUGUUAAAUAUCUAGGGAAAAUGCUUUCUAUGUAGAAGGCACUUGAUAAAUAUUUGUUGAACUGAAUUGAAUUCAGAGAGGAGUGGGUGGGAAGUACUGAGAGGUACUGUCUUUAGCCAGUAUCAUAUUUGCUUUUUCAAAGCAUCUUUCACUUUCCCAUUUGAGUUAGUGAUUUCUGUAGUCUAAGUUUCCCAAGAAACAGAUCCUAAAGGAGAUUCAAGUACGAGAAGUGUAUUUGGGAGGUGAGAAAAACAUCUGCAGGUGUGAGGGGAAGUUAGACUAGGAUGGGAGGCCAGUGGAUGGAGCUGCAUUAUACAACAGCAGCUACCAAGGGCAAUUGGCCCUUUAUCCUGUGAGAGGCACUAGGCACUAGGCACUGGUGUAAAAUUGGCACCUCAGAGUUCUCCAUGCUGGGAGGCAGUGCUGUGGGGUAUCUAUUUCAACUCACAGUCUUUGGCUGUUUUUGAUGAGGGCUGCUCCUAGGAGGGUUAAUUCCCUGGCUCUUCUAUGCUUCCAUGUGAGUAGAAAAGCGAUUUUAAGUGACAAGAGAAAGCCCACAGGAAAAGAAGCACAGGUGUCCGCUGGCUCUCGGGAAUCAGAUGGUCUAGAGAGGACUGGAGUGAGGAUCCACAGCACCCAUUGCGAGGGCAUCCAUUGCUGACCAAUUCUUCCAGAACUUUAAGAAAAUAUAUCAAAUACUGUAAGACUUCUUUGAAGUGAUGGCUAGAGAGAGUUUUAUUUUUUUUUUAGUGUUUUUGUACCAUUUUUGAUAUUGCAGCUCAAUAGUUACUCUAAAAAUCUGCCUCGGAACAUCCUGCUGCUUUUCCUUUGAACUCCCUGAAGCCAGUAUUUCAGAAGCAACUUCAGAUCACUAUGGCUCAUCCGUUUCUCCCAGAAGGCCAAUCUCUGGCUGACCUCAAAGCUCAGACAGCUUCUGACCCAAGAGAUCCAGUCCCCUUCUGCCCACCCCUUUCACAUCUCAGAUUAUUGACUCCCUGAAAAGCUGUUGUUCUUUUACUCAAACCCAGCAAACCAAGGGAAUUGCCUCCCACUCUGGAAUAAACACAUGAAAUCUAAGGUACCUGAUGCCUGUCAUUCCAUAAAAUAGCAGUUCUAGUAAAUCACAUUAUGUAAAAAUGGGAUUUGUACUAGAGCUGUUUUAUAGGAGCUUGGUUUAUAUCAUCAACUGUUCCACUGAAAAUCUGAGCUGUGAUAAGUCAUCCAUAAAACUGGCAGGAUAAAACUUAGGGAAUUGCUAUUGAGAAGUUCUAAGGCUCAUAAAACUGGGUUAUGUGCUUUGACAGUUUUGAUAUUGCUCAAACACUUUAUCAAAGGAACCAGAAUCAUCAUCAGUGCUACCUUUUAAUAUGAUUUUCAUGGAAUUCCAUUUUGAACUUGCCUUCCGUGCUGUGGUCUUUUAUUUGAAAGUGUGAGAACACUUGACCUCAUGUUCCUCUUUACAUCAACCCACAGAAGGAUCAAGAGAAAUCUACUAUUUUAGGCAGGGGAAGUUUAAAGGUCAGUGAUAGAAUAAGAACCUUGAAAUUUUGCAAUUAAAAUGAAAGCUAACGUAUUCUGAAUACAUGAACUGUUUCAAGCAUCUAAUUGACAUAGGACUCCAUUGUUUACAUUCAUUGCCUCAUUUACUCUUCAUGGCAAUUACACUAAAUAGUUACUAUUAUAAUUCUUAUUUACUUAGAGAAAGUUGAGCCUUAUGAAAGUUGAAUGGCUCCUUAAGGUAAGAGUUGGGAAUCAAACCAAAGCUUUUUUAUAAUAUAUUAUGCUUUUAAUCAUUUUGCUCUGCUGUUUUAUGAAAUAACAUAAAUAUAUAUACAACAUUAGUCUAUGGUAGAGAAUAUCAUGGGAUGAUUACCUUUGGGCAGAUGUGGAGAUUGACUGGGAAAAGACCAGGGGGAACUUUCUGGGGUUGUUGAAAUGUUCUAUCUUAAUAGGCUCUGGACAGGUAGAUUUUCUGGGUAUAUAAAUUUGUAAAAUACAUUCAGUGGUAACACCUAGGUUGGAUGCAUGGAAUUGAAGACAGAGUAUGCAGGCCCACCUUCCCCAGGUAGACUGCUCCCCUAUUUCCCUUUCUAUCCAUGUCACCUGAUUAGAAACAGCUCACUGAUCCCCUUGUCCUACCUCUCAGCCCACAGCACAAGUCAGGGUCAAGGGUUGGACAGAAUGACCCAGUCCAGCCAAUCAGAAUGUUUCCCAUGGACUUGCAAAACAAGCUAAGAGGCUUUUAGAAAUUAUGUAUUUCCUAUGGUGGCAAUUUGGUGAUUGUCUUGAUUCCUACUUGCUGACAGUCAAGACUUUUACUUUGAGAAGGUGUUCUGGCACUUGAAAUAGGGCUCUUGUAACUGAAGAGCUGAACAAGUUAAAUUCUGCUUAAUAUUAAUUCAUUUAAAUUUAAAUAGCUAUGUGUGGCUAGCGGCUAAUGCAUUAGAAAACAUAGGUGUAGGAGAAUGAGUAUUAAAAAUGAGUAAUGGUAGAGGAUCCCUGAUGGAAUUGGUGUGCUCUUUAAGGCUGGCUCCACCCUGCCUAGCCCUUGUGAUUUGGAGAUAGAAGCUAAUGAUUUAUUUAGCCUUUCAUCACUGUACACACUUGUGCUUCUGAUGAUACCCUUUGAAAUAAGUGCAAAUAAAGUAAACCACUCUUUAUCCUACCCUUUGUGAAAAGAAACAUUACAUGCAAAUGUGUGGGUUGGAGUAACUCUUUGCUGUAAUUAAGUUUUCAUUUCUCUAAAAACCAAAUAAUUACUAAAUAAAUACGAAGUGUUCAUUGUUGUAAACCUUUGCAUAUUUAUCAGAAUGGAAGAUGAGAUAAAUAGAGACAACAUUGGAGUUCCUGCUGUGGUGCAGUGGGUUAAGAAUCCAACUGCAGUGGCUCGGGUUGCUGUGGAGGUGAUAUUAGAUCCCUGGCCCAGUGCAGUGAGUUAAAGGAUCCAGCAUUGCUACAGCUGCAGUGUGGGUCACAUCUGCGGCCCAGAUUCAAUCCCUGGGCAUGGCCAUUAAAAACUAGCAAACAAAAAUAGAGGCAGCAUUGGCACCUUUAGGGUGAUGAUAGGAAAGAAGGAGGCUUUACAGCUUUUCCUAGGAUUGGCUGUGUUAACUUUUAGAAGUGUCAGGUAAAUGCAGUGUUUCUGGAGUCAAACUUUCACCAUUAACGAUGUAACAUUUUUGUUUUUGCCCCCUUGAAUUACUUAAAAGAGCUUUCCCAAGAGGAAAAUUAUGUGCAUUAUGACCAGUACUGUCACAGUUAAUGACUACGCAUGUGCUAAGAAUGUACCUUUGAAUUCUUGCUGAUGUUAGUCUCGGAGACUGAUUUAUAGUUUUUAUAAAAUAAGUUAUAAUGAUACGACUUGUGCUCCCUAAAGAUGAUGGAUCAUAGAAUUUUAGAGAUGGAAGGAAUCUUAGAGAACGUCUGGUCUAGCCUCUUCAUUUUAUAAAGAAAGAAACAGAAGGCCAGGAGAGGCAGACUGAUAUGCUCAAGGUCACAACACCUAAUUAGAGGCCAAGCUGAGACGGGAUCCCAGGUCUCCUAAUACCCAGAGCCUCCUGUCAGGGAUCCAGGCCAAUACAUCUUGCUAUUCUGACUGCAGCCUCUUUGAAUGAUAUCUUAAUUUCCAUUUAAACUUUAUGAUUCUGUAAAAACUGACAACUUUGUCAAGACAAAAUUUCAUACAAUCAGAUAUAUUUUGGGUGGUUUUGACAUCAAACAGCAUGUGUAUAAGAUGCUUAUCCUUGAUGAAAAUCUUAGAAGAUUAAGGAUGAAACCUCAAAACAUACUAGCUUCUAAAAUAAUAUUGUGUAGAUAGGUCUAACAUCAAUUUAUACAAAAUUAUUUUGAAAUCAUUUGUAUCUACCACCUUUAUCAUUGUUUAAAGUAUGAUCAUUGCAGAAAAGACACAAGCUAGAAAUUGAGUAGGGCAGAUUCACAUUCAGCAACGGCAGUUCCCUAACUGCUCAAGGCUUAGUUUGCAUUUGAAAUAAAGGUAUUUAAGAAGGUACAGAAUAUACAGAGCAUCAUAUAAUGCUUAGCACACAGAGUCAAUAAAUGUAUAGUAAAAUUUGAUACUUUUUUACACCAAGAUGCUUUCGUAGUUGAUAUUUUUUUAACGUGAUUAUGAGAAAGCACAUCUGUUUAAAUGCAAAAAUAUUCUGUUGAUAAGAAUAAUGUUUACUGAGUGCUUGGUAUAUUUCAGGAACUGUAUAACAUUGGGAAUACAUUCAU